CCCAAUGUGAUGUUAGGUGCGGUCACAGAGCUCAUCCGAACUGGCACUAUUUCUGGACUCAGCCAGCUGCCGAGUCCUAAACUUACUUUCCUGGACCAGUUAAUGCUGGCUGCUGUCUUCACAGGGGGACGAGCUGAACAAAAACAACUCAGUCAUGACAUCACAGCCAGUCCUUGUUCCUCAGCACUGAGGCGUCAUGUGGAAGAGGAGAUAGACAAAAGGAAGAGAAAAUAAAGCGAGCAAAAUUAUGUUGUACAUUACUCAGACCCAUGCAAGGAACAACUCCAAGACAUGCAAAGACAGAACAGAGACUGAUGCAACUAUUCAGCCCUAAAGACAAAACAUAACUGUAUUUGGCCAUGGACGAAUCCGCACACUCAAACACCCAACAAACUCCCUGUGUUUCCCUCCAACACAGCACCUAACAAAGCCUUAUGAAGUCCUCCAAAACACUCCGGUAAUACGCCCUCCUAUUCAGAUACCUUGGUGCUGGGGGGAUAAGCAACUUUGACUUGUUUUGGUUUGUCUGCCACCGUUCCCUUCAGUCUUGUUUUGAUCUGUUUGGAAUGUGACCCGAUACUGAUUUUAAAUGUAAAAAGGAAAAAACAUCUGAACAACUGAUUUCCUCACGGCAACCUUGACGAGUCUUUUCUGCUCAGACGUGUCCUGAUUGGAUACGUUUUGUAUCCAGUUUUAUCUACAAAAGAAACAGGUUACAAGACUGACUGAUUCUUCUUUAACACAAAAUAUUUGAAGGAUUACAUGGUUAGACAGCUCAGUUACAAGAAAGGCUAUAAGAGGAAGUCUGGUAUCAAUAGUCCUUGGUCUGCUGACUGUUUGCCAACCACAGUGUCUCUAAACAAUGUAAUUCUAACGCGCAUUAUUACAUUGUAACUCCAAAUGCACUGCAGACACGGUACAAAAACACCUACAGUAAUAAUAGAUACAAGAGUAUCCAGGGUCACGUUUACAAAAUGUGGUCAUAAAGCACCAUUAGGGCCAUAUGUAACACACUGUAAAUGUGCAGUAAUAGAAUGUAUACUAAAAAAGUAAGGGACAUAUACUGUACAUGUUAAUUCUUACCUGUAUACUACUUUGUUUUAUCCAUUAUAUAUUUAUUUGUAAUUCUUGUUUUUACUCUUAUUCCAAAUUUAAUUUUUCUAUAUACACCAGCCUUUUUAACAUAGCCUAAGUAGCAUGCCACCCUUGAUUUCACUACACAUAUUGUAUAAGGAUCCUUGAAACCUGAAUCUAAGUGUUGAGUAAAUGUUUGCAUCUUCCUGUGAACAAAAAACAAGGACUUCUCUUCAAAGUCUGUUUGUUGAAACUCAGAGUUGGCAUGACAUGAAGCAUAUGACCAUUGUCUAAUUGAGGCCUCAUGUUUAACUUUACUCAUUUUAUCUUGAAAACUAUAACUUUGAACAGUGGAUUCCUCAGUAUUAGAAGUAAGGCCAAUGUGAGGAAAACAGAUGGAUUUUGUAUUCAUAUUUGAAUCACUGUAAAAAUCCACCAAUUUACUUUCAAAGACUGCUGACACAAUAUUUUGUUUUUGUCAAAUCUACAAACUUCAGAGACUUUUCGAGGUCCUUGUGCACCUUGUUAUAUUGUUAUAUGUUAAGUGUAUCUCUGUUCUAAUGAGCUUUGAAUCUCUGUGUUUCAUAACACUUCUAGUGUUACCAAAUUGGCAUAUGACAUCAAGCGACUUUGGGAAUAAAGUAACACUCAUAUGCCUAGCUGGCAUGUUCUUGGCACAAUACUGACUACAUCCAUUUUUUUGGUUCUUGGUCAUAAUUUUCAAGAACUAUAUGUGCUUAUUUUGCACUAAUUGGUAAAGACAGUUCAGUCCGACUAGAGUCAUCUAUGAUCUUGCCAUUUCACAGAUGGCAACAUAAAGGAUUCAACUCGAUGAACCGCACAGCCAACGUUAGCCAGACUAUGGCGAGUUAGCAAAAAUUCUGACUACAUCCUGAAUAGUAAUGAUAUUGUUAGUAGUGUUGGUUCUCUGGUUCAGGAGGCCUACUACAGUUUAUACUGGAGACACUUAUGUGAUCGGUGUUUGUCUAUCUUUUGACACCCUUCAAGAUGUUAAAGAGAAGGUUUUUUUACAUGGAAGCUGGGAAACAACUUGAGCCCUUGCAAACAGGAACAUACAGUAGUUUGACGUCUUUGGACUUAACCACCACACAAGACAGUCAUGUAAUAUCCAGAAACUUCUUCAUUUACUUGAAAAACACAUAAGCUUCUCGUGUGUGUAUGAGUCAGCUCAUUGCUCCAUAGUGCCACAUCAGCAAAUCUAUGUUAAUACAAAGAUAUAUAUAUUAUUGAUUUAAAAGGACUGAUUUCUUUUUUUUAUUUCUCU